AUAUAAUCAAACUGUGAAGCUGCAUCCACAGAUUUAACUAAAGAACUAUAGGUGUACCAGAGGAAGUCAAAAAAAUUUCAGAAAGUCUUUCAAAUAAAUACAAAUUAAAAGUAGCAUUCUUCAAAAAAAAUACAGAAGGAAGGAAGGAAGAAAAGAAUUGCUUCCUUGUGAACCUAUACCGUCAUCCCUGAAGCGUAAACAGCCACACCAGGUUGAUGGAAAUCAAAUUUUACAUCCAAGCCAAGACAAACACACUUGAAUAUAGUAGCCAACUUCUCUCCAUUUAAGACAGGAAAAUCAAACUUUUCCAAAUUACCAAGGUAUUCACCAACUCAGUAAAUGAAGACUUCUGAAUCAAAAAUUGACACUGCUAUGAAAGAAAACAUUUGCAGUAGAUAUUGUAUAAGGAGAGUGAAGUAAUAGCACCCGAGAGAGAAUAUUAUAAGACAAGUAGAUGCUAAACAGCAUAGAGAUAACUGCAAACAUGAGCAUGGAAGAACUAAGGAAAGAUAUGUAGAAAAAGAACACUUAUAAAGGUCUUUUUGGAAGUACAAGGGAACCUUGCUCAACCAUCAUGUCAUCAUGAAGGAGGGACAAGAAAAGAAUAUAAAACACAGAACUCAAGGCAGAAUGGGAAAGUACCAUCUCACAUCCAAAUAUCAUUAAUUCUAAAAAGCAUUAGAAAAAAUGAAGUAUGCCUGGAGACAAGGCUUACAGCCAAACCAGGAGAACAGCUUUAAUGGGAGUCAUUUGCUAAACCACCUAAUGAAAGUGAAACAAAGAUGAUCAAGAUUAUGACUAUGUGAAGUCUCCCACCCAUCAGAAGCCCUACUGUAAUUGCAUGAAAUGAUCUGGAAAAAAAAAAGAAUAGCCAUCAACUAUAUUCAGCAUGCUCUGUUUAUCUCUUCAGAAACUUCUCCUUCAUGAUGUUUCCCCCCAUCACCCCAGUGAAACAUGCAGACUACCAUGAAGAUAUACUAAAAAUUCUAACACCCUGGAGGAGUCUAAAAUCCCAUUCAGCUGCAAAUCUUCCUGUCAUGGGAGUUGAUUGCCAGCUCUAAUUUUGAGUGAACGCAUUAAACAUGAUGGUGAAAAUAUCAAUUAAAAAAAUCUACUCUCCAUA